rnacentral:rRNA from 1 species
CCUACGGGUGGCAGCAGUGAGGAAUAUUGGUCAAUGGGCGCGAGCCUGAACCAGCCAAGUCGCGUGAGGGAUGACGGUCCUACGGAUUGUAAACCUCUUUUGCCGGGGAGCAAGCGUGCGUUCGUGAACGCGCGUCGAGAGUACCCGGAGAAAAAGCAUCGGCUAACUCCGUGCCAGCAGCCGCGGUAAUACGGAGGAUGCGAGCGUUAUCCGGAAUGAUUGGGCGUAAAGGGUGCGUAGGCGGCCUGCUAAGUCUGGAGUGAAAGGUACCGGCUCAACCGGUACAGGCUCUGGAAACUGGCGGGCUAGAGAGCAGGAGAGGGCGGUGGAACUCCAUGUGUAGCGGUAAAAUGCGUAGAUAUAUGGAAGAACAUCAGUGGCGAAGGCGGCCGCCUGGCCUGUUAACUGACGCUGAGGCACGAAAGCGUGGGGAGCAAAUAGGAUUAGAACCCUAGUAGUC